UACGAAGGGGGCUAGCGUUGUUCGGAAUUACUGGGCGUAAAGCGCACGUAGGCGGAUUGUUAAGUCAGAGGUGAAAUCCCGGAGCUCAACUUCGGAACUGCCUUUGAUACUGGCAAUCUAGAGUCCGGAAGAGGUUAGUGGAAUUCCCAGUGUAGAGGUGAAAUUCGUAGAUAUUGGGAAGAACACCAGUGGCGAAGGCGGCUAACUGGUCCGGUACUGACGCUGAGGUGACGAAAGGCGUGGGGAGCAAACAGG
rnacentral:rRNA from 1 species